AUUUUUUUAAGAUUAGCUGGAAACCUUCCUGACGAUCUAAACUUGGUAGAUCCACAGAGGACUUCACCUUUUCCGAUCUAUUUAGCUCUCUUUGACAAAGUCCUAAGAAGAUUUGAAAAACCACAAAAAGGUAAAUCUGAUUUCACGGCUUUCUUUUUGAUCUAUCGUUGUUAAUAAAAAUCUGAUCGUUUUAAAAUUGAUUAAAAAAAAAUUCUGGAAAACAAAAGCCAAAUAACAGUGGCAAGAAAGCGUAAGAUUCUUUUGACAAAUUCUAUCUAAUGUUGAAGUUAUUAUUUGCAGCUCUAGAAUCAGUGUUUAAGUGUUGUUUUGUUAAAAAGGGUUAAUUUUUUUUUUCCUUUCAGGAAUAAUAUACUUUUGGAGAAAGUAUUAAUAUUCCAACUACAAAGAUUAUGGGUUUCAUUCUUCUAUGGAGAACAACAAGUUUUUAAAAUAAAAGAGAAGUUAUUUCCAGAUACUUUGUCUUCUUUUACAUUAAUAUAAACCCUAAUUUCCAUAUGAAUAUAGCAUGAUUAGUUUAUUAAUAUGUGUUUGAAUUUUACAUUUGACAGCUACAAUAAAUUUGGAUCCGGACAAAUACGUUGGAAGUGAACAUUUACCAUCACCAAAAGGGAGAUCAUGGUGAUACCAAAAGUUAAGUCACUAUAAAAUGGCUUUCUCAUAUUUUAUAGAUGAGCAAAUAUCAAAUUUAGACAAUUGUUGUUUCCUAAUACCAAAUUUUACAUAACACGUAUAACCAAAAAACUCACAUUUUCAUCGGAUAGCACGAUCUCAAGGGUGACUCCAUGCACUGCGUUGAACUGCUUCCAAGUAUGCAACACUUUCAUAUGCACUUUCCAAUCACUUUUGAUGGGUUUCACAUCUUUCAAAGAGGUCACUUUCAUUUUCGAAGACAUUUUAGUUUUUUUUUUGUAGUUAAUGUAGCUGUCAAUAGAUGUGAGAAAACUUUGGCACGCUAUGGGUAUUUAUAUAGCAGUAGUUUAGUC